rnacentral:rRNA from 1 species
UACGGAGGGUGCAAGCGUUAUCCGGAUUCAUUGGGUUUAAAGGGUGCGUAGGAGGGCAGGUAAGUCAGUGGUGAAAUCCCCGAGCUUAACUUGGGAACUGCCGUUGAUACUACCUGUCUUGAAUACCGUGGAGGUGAGCGGAAUAUGUCAUGUAGCGGUGAAAUGCUUAGAUAUGACAUAGAACACCAAUUGCGAAGGCAGCUCGCUACACGAAUAUUGACUCUGAGGCACGAAAGCGUGGGGAUCAAACAGG